rnacentral:rRNA from 1 species
CAGAGGGGGCAAGCGUUAUUCGGAAUUAUUGGGCGUAAAGGGCGCGUAGGCGGCGAUUCAAGUGGCGGGUGAAAUCCCUCGGCUUAACCGAGGAACUGCCUGCCAGACUGGAUUGCUUGAGUCCGGGAGAGGUGAGUGGAAUUCCCAGUGUAGCGGUGAAAUGCGUAGAUAUUGGGAGGAACACCAGUGGCGAAGGCGGCUCACUGGACCGGAACUGACGCUGAGGCGCGAAAGCGUGGGGAGCAAACAGGAUUAGAUACCCUGGUAGUCCACGCCGUAAACGAUGAGUGCUUGGUGUAGCGGGUAUCGACCCCUGCUGUGCCGAAGUCAACACAUUAAGCACUCCGCCUGGGGAGUACGGUCGCAAGACUG